GUAAGGGGUGCUGUGAAGGAGACCCGGACACCUUCAUAUCUCUAUUUUUCUUCCUUAGACAGGAAAUAUGUGUGUGGAAGGGAGGCGUGGGUCGAGAUCGUAAAUUUCAUUGAUUACUUGCAGACUGUACAGAGGAUAUUCAAGCUUCAUGACAGCUUCUGGAGACAUAACGACUGGACAAUAUUGCCCGAACAGUACAAAGUCUCUUUAACUACUACAAAGAAAUCAGCAGGUGCGGUUUCCCCCCGGGCUGUCGGGGCCGAGACGAGGCAGAGGGACCCGUGCGGAUGUGCGUGGUGGUCCCGCACCGCCCGUCCCGCAGCCCCGUGCCGGCUCUCCCUGCCCGAGGGGAGCAGCAGCGGAUCCCACCCCGCUUCGCCGUGAAUUACCGCCUGGCCUUGGAGUUCUCUUCCCCUCCAGACAUAGGCUCCUGACUAAACCGUGCUGUGCAAAUAAAACGCAGGGGGAGAGAAGGAGGGGAAGUUGUGUUUCCCAAAACUGAAAGACAGUAAAAAAAGGUCGUCAAAAAUAUCCAGAUGAAGACAGUAAAGGUAAAUCAAAGCAGAACAACUGUUCGCAA
rnacentral:lncRNA from 1 species